UACGUAGGGGGCGAGCGUUGUCCGGAGUUACUGGGCGUAAAGGGCGCGCAGGCGGUCUGGUAAGUUUGGAGUGACAGUGCUCGGCUUAACUGAGCAAGGCCUUCGAAAACUGCUAGACUUGAGCACUCAAGAGGGACAUAGAAUUCCGGGUGGAGUGGUGAAAUGCGUAGAUAUCCGGAGGAAUACCAAAGGCGAAGGCAGUGUCCUGGGGAGUGUCUGACGCUCAGGCGCGAAAGCUAGGGGAGCGGAACAGG
rnacentral:rRNA from 1 species